CCUACGGGAGGCAGCAGUGGGGAAUAUUGCUCAAUGGGGGAAACCCUGAAGCAGCGACGCCGCGUGAGGGAUGAAGGUUUUCGGAUUGUAAAGUCCUUUUAGUAGGGAAGAAAAUGACGGUAUCUGAGUAAUAAGCACCGGCUAACUCCGUGCCAGCAGCCGCGGUAAUACGGAGGGUGCAAGCGUUACCCGGAUUUACUGGGCGUAAAGGGAGCGUAGGCGGGAGAGCAAGUCAGAGGUGAAAGCCUAGGGCUUAACCAUAGAACUGCAUUUGAAACUGUGCUGCUAGAGUGUAGGAGAGGUAGGUGGAAUUCCUGGUGUAGCGGUGAAAUGCGUAGAGAUCAAGAGGAACACCGAUUGCGAAGGCGGCUUACUAGACCAUAACUGACGUUGAGGCGCGAAAGCGUGGGGAGCAAACAGGAUUAGAUACCCGUGUAGUC
rnacentral:rRNA from 1 species